CCAUCUCAAGUAUGAUCUUCACUCCCUCUGAGAAGUCCAGGCAAUAGACUUUUUACCAGUUGGAGACCAAAUCCAGAAUCCCACAGCCUCCAAAACAGUAAAGAAUAGCGGAUGCUACGUUUUUCCAGAAAUAGACAAUGGCGACAGAUUGUAUAGAACACGACACCCGAAUAUCUCUGUAAGGGUUGCGCAAAUGACGACAAAACAGGAGGACAAGGAGAAGAUAUCAACACAAAGGAUCACACCUCAACUGUCUAUCCAGUAAGGAAAAAAGAGAAUUUCAAUGACGCAGGUAAUUUUCUGCAGUCUAUGGAGAGAAGAACAGGCAUGAGGUGGCCCCUGGACUUGCCUGAAGUCAGCAAGAUAGCGAGGCGAUGAUGGAAAUCUGGCUUCUAAUGUCAGGUCUUUCCCCUGAACAGAGUCAAAGAAUAAAACUUUGUGUUGACCAGAAUUCAGUCCUGGUACCAGAACCUACUUGAACAUUAGAACAGAGGUAUAAAUAAGUCGUAUGGAAAGGACCUGGUGUCCAGUGAUCUCUGUUUUACGGCCACAGGCAUGUGCCACCACUGAAUGCUCCAGUCUAUCUUUCCCGUGGGGAAUCCAGGUCACCAGGAACCAGAAAGAAGAUUUGUUCAAGCACAUUCCAUUUGACAAGCACAAAUAAAUUUAUUCAGUUGCCUAUAUUUUAAUACUUU